rnacentral:rRNA from 1 species
AGAGUUUGAUCAUGGCUCAGAACGUACGCUGGCGGCACGCCUAACACAUGCAAGUCGAACGAAGUAGCAAUACUUAGUGGCAGACGGGUGAGUAACAUGUAGGUAUCUGCCCUUUGGCCUGGAAUAACACGAGGAAACUUGUGCUAAUACCGGAUAAGUCUUUACGGAGAAAGCUUUAUGCACCAUUGGAUGAGCCUGCACUUGAUUAGUUUGUUGGUGGGGUAAUGGCCUACCAAGACUGUGAUCAAUAGCUGAUUUGAGAGGAUGAUCAGCCACAUUGGGACUGAGACACGGCCCAAACUCCUACGGGAGGCAGCAGUGGGGAAUCUUGCACAAUGGAGGAAACUCUGAUGCAGCGAUGCCGCGUGAGUGAAGAAGGCCCUUGGGUUGUAAAGCUCUUUCGUCGGGGAAGAAAAUGACUGUACCCGAAUAAGAAGGUCCGGCUAACUUCGUGCCAGCAGCCGCGGUAAUACGAAGGGACCUAGCGUAGUUCGGAAUUACUGGGCUUAAAGAGUUCGUAGGUGGUUGAAAAAGUUAGUGGUGAAAUCCCAGAGCUUAACUCUGGAACUGCCAUUAAAACUUUUCAGCUAGAGUAUGAUAGAGGAAAGCAGAAUUUCUAGUGUAGAGGUGAAAUUCGUAGAUAUUAGAAAGAAUACCAAUUGCGAAGGCAGCUUUCUGGAUCAUUACUGACACUGAGGAACGAAAGCAUGGGUAGCGAAGAGGAUUAGAUACCCCUCGUAGUCCAUGCCGUAAACGAUGUGUGUUAGACGUUGGAAAUUUAUUUUUCAGUGUCGCAGGGAAAACCGAUAAACACACCGCCUGGGGAGUACGACCGCAAGGUUAAAACUCAAAUGAAUUGACGGGGACCCGCACAAGUAGUGGAGCAUGUGGUUUAAUUCGAAGAUACGCGCAGAACCUUACCAACACUUGACAUGUUCGUCGCGACUCUAAGAGAUUAGAGUUUUCGGUUCGGCCGGACGAAACACAGGUGCUGCAUGGCUGUCGUCAGCUCGUGUCGUGAGAUGUUGGGUCAAGUCCCGCAACGAGCGCAACCCUCACUUUUAGUUGCCAUCAUUAAGUUGGGCACUCUGAAAGAACUGCCAGUGAUAAGCUGGAGGAAGGUGGGGAUGACGUCAAGUCCUCAUGGCCCUUACGUGUUGGGCUACACACGUGCUACAAUGGUAUCUACAACAGGAAGCAAGACUGCGAAGUUAAGCAAAUCCCCAAAAGAUACCUCAGUUCGGAUUGCACUCUGCAACUCGAGUGCAUGAAGCUGGAAUUACUAGUAAUCGUGGAUCAGCGUGCCACGGUGAAUGCGUUCCCGGGUCUUGUACACACCGCCCGUCACACCAUGGGAGUUGGUUCUACCUUAAGGCAAGGUUUCAAACCCUUGACCACGGUAUAGUCAGCGACUGGGGUGAAGUCGUAACAAGGUA